GCGUCGAUAGUGCAGCGGGUUAGAGCACGCGCCUCUUGACAAAGAGUGGAAUGCGGGUUCAAGUCCCGCUUGACGUCA